GUUGAACGCUGGCGGCAUGCCUUACACAUGCAAGUCGAACGGCAGCACGGGAGCAAUCCUGGUGGCGAGUGGCGAACGGGUGAGUAAAGUAUCGGAACGUGCCCAGUCGUGGGGGAUAACGUAGCGAAAGUUACGCUAAUACCGCAUACGAUCUAUGGAUGAAAGCGGGGGAUCGCAAGACCUCGCGCGAUUGGAGCGGCCGAUAUCAGAUUAGGUAGUUGGUGGGGUAAAGGCUCACCAAGCCGACGAUCUGUAGCUGGUCUGAGAGGACGACCAGCCACACUGGGACUGCGAAACGGCCCAGACUCCUACGGGAGGCAGCAGUGGGGAAUUUUGGACAAUGGGCGAAAGCCUGAUCCAGCCAUGCCGCGUGCAGGAUGAAGGCCUUCGGGUUGUAAACUGCUUUUGUACGGAACGAAAAGGUUUGGCCUAAUAAGCUGAGCUCAUGACGGUACCGUAAGAAUAAGCACCGGCUAACUACGUGCCAGCCGCCGCCGUAA
rnacentral:rRNA from 1 species